AGCAGCCGCGGUAAUUCCAGCUCCAAUAGCGUAUAUUAAAGUUGUUGCAGUUAAAAAGCUCGUAGUUGAAUUUCGGGGUCAGUACGCUGGUCAUGCCUUUGGUAUGCACUGGUGUCACUGGUUUCUCCCUUCUGAAGAUCCGUGAUGUCAUUAAUUUGGUGUCGCGGGGAAUCAGGACUGUUACUUUGAAGAAAUUAGAGUGUUUAAGGCAGGCUCACGCUUGAAUACAUUAGCAUGGAAUAAUGAAAUAGGACGUUUGACCCUAUUUUGUUGGUUUCUAGGAUCGACGUAAUGAUUAAUAGGGAUAGUUGGGGCAUUAGUAUUCAAUUGUCAGAGGUGAAAUUCUUGGA
rnacentral:rRNA from 1 species